ensembl:lncRNA
AAGUGGAGCUCCUGGAAGGACGCUGGCCUCUCUUGCUGGCUCUCCUUUGGUCCACAGCAGGAGAAGCACAUGGCCCCUGUUUGCUUUUGCCUGCAGUCUACAGAGCAAACUCUGCUAGUGACCAGGUUGUUCUUGCAGAGAACUUGUGAAAAUUCAGUGUGUUGAAUAGGUGAGUUCCAAUGGAGUGAGUAUGCUGCAGCCUUUGAAAAGUAGUGCCAAUCAAGAAAGAGCUGGCAGAAACAGACGUAUCAUACAGAUCAGCAUCUGGCUGCCUAGCUGGUGUUGCCAGCAGGAUUUUGGCUUCCGUAAUCAUGAGAUUCUCUUCAAAGACUGUGGGCUACUGUGGAGAGCUCCUGACUGCUGGGAAAAGAGCUGGAAGUUCUGAAAUAUCAAAGCAAAAUCUGUUCCUGCAAGAUUUCCAUCAGAGAGAGGAUUAACAGUCAACAAAUGAACAUCAGUGCAGUAUCUUUUGAAGUUUCUCCAUCUCUAUUGGUGAUGCUAUAGUGACUCUGUUGUUCCUGGUCUUCUCUUUCUAAAGUCUAUUUGCUUUUUUUUUUUUUUUUUUUUCUUUUGGGACAUUUAAUGUAAGUUACUGUAUUUGAAUUUCUGACUCAUCCUCUGUUGUCUGGUUCUGCGUACUGAAAAGUAUCAUUAUAUUCAAAGAGAACUGGUAACUGAAAUUAUAUAGGCUGUCAAUGUUCUCAUUCAGACUUCUCUUCAGCAUUAGAAUUCUGUGUGGUGUUGCAUGCUGUUAGUUGAAGAUUUAUUCUUGAACUUUUUAUUUUCACAAUUCCUUAUUAUCUAAUAACUAUACAGAAAUGUUAAUAGUCUUAUGACUAAACAGGUCAAUAUUCAUAUGAAUAUAUAUUUUUACUUGUUUAAUCUCAAUGAAAUAGCCUAGUAGAAAUUUAACACAUUUAAAACAUUCAAAUAAAAGCUUUUUUUACCCAAUCACAACAACAGCAACAACAAAAACAACAACAAAAACUCUAAUGCUCUUUUUUUGCACUGAAAAAAUCACCAACAUUAGAGUAACUUACAAUGAUAAAUCUCAAAAGACUUAUAUUCUUUAACUCAAGUUGAGACCAUUUGCUUAUUAUACAGGUUCACUGACCCAAAUCUUCUUCAUUCUACAUUAGAGAACUUGACCUGAGAUUUUCUUCUCCCUUCUCCCAGAUAUCACAUAAUGUUAUUUUUGCAUUUUCUGUUGCUGUAAAUAUUUAAUUAGCUACACAAAGUGAAACUAUUCCAAGAAGGAUGACAAAUUCACACUUAAAGUCAUUUGCAAUUGAAAGCUUUUGUAUGCACUGUAAAAUAAAGAUUCUGAACCCAUUUUUUCUUUUAUUUGAAGAAAGAUCUUUGACUUAUGAUUUCUUAACUAUUAAGAGGAAAUCUGUGCUUUGUCUAGCCUCUGCUCUGUUUUCUAGAAAAAUCAGAAAAGUCCUAUUUGUGUCUAGUGUUUAUGGACAUUACCUGCCCAUUUCUUGCUCCUGGCUGAGUUCCAUACAGCCACUAGAAAUCUGAUUUAGCAGGCAAUAUAAGCAUGCUGAAUCACACUAAGCAGUUCAAAAUAAUGUGAUUAAUCUGUUUGUUUCAUUUACCGCAUUCAGAUUUAUGUAGAAACUGGUGAGAGAAGCCCAGGAUCUUAUCAUCUAACAAUUAAACUAAUCUUGCAGUAUAUUUUAUAAUGUGACUCUAGGAUAAACCCCUACCAAAAUUGGCUUU